rnacentral:sRNA from 1 species
UCAUUUUUUCGAUGGCCGCACCGAAUUC